rnacentral:tRNA from 1 species
GCCGGCUUAGCUCAUCAGGUAGAGCAGCUGAUUCGUAAUCAGCAGGUGGCCGGUUCGAUUCCGGCAGCCGGCUCCA